GAUGAACGCUGGCGGCGUGCCUAAUACAUGCAAGUCGAGCGAACAGACGAGGAGCUUGCUCCUCUGACGUUAGCGGCGGACGGGAGAGUAACACGUGGAUAACCUACCUAUAAGACUGGGAUAACUUCGGGAAACCGGAGCUAAUACCGGAUAAUAUAUUGAACCGCAUGGUUCAAUAGUGAAAGACGGUUUUGCUGUCACUUAUAGAUGGAUCCGCGCCGCAUUAGCUAGUUGGUAAGGUAACGGCUUACCAAGGCGACGAUGCGUAGCCGACCUGAGAGGGUGAUCGGCCACACUGGAACUGAGACACGGUCCAGGCUCCUACGGGAGGCAGCAGUAGGGAAUCUUCCGCAAUGGGCGAAAGCCUGACAGAGCAACGCCGCGUGAGUGAUGAAGGUCUUCGGAUCGUAAAACUCUGUUAUUAGGGAAGAACAAAUGUGUAAGUAACUAUGCACGUCUUGACGGUACCUAAUCAGAAAGCCACGGCUAACUACGUG
rnacentral:rRNA from 1 species